UGGGGGAUAUUGCACAAUGGGCGAAAGCCUGAUGCAGCGACGCCGCGUGGGGGAUGAAGGCCUUCGGGUUGUAAACUUCUUUUGCUCUGAACAAGGCAUGCUAAUGGGUGUGUUGAGUGUAGGGGUUGAUUAGCGCCGGCUAACUACGUGCCAGCAGCCGCGGUAAUACGUAGGGCGCGAGCGUUGUCCGGAAUUAUUGGGCGUAAAGGGCUUGUAGGUGGCUGGUUGCGUCUGUCGUGAAAGCUCAUGGCUUAACUGUUGGUUUGCGGUGGGUACGGGCUGGCUUGAGUGCGGUAGGGGAGGCGGGAAUUCCUGGUGUAGCGGUGGAAUGCGCAGAUGUCAGGAGGAAUACCGGUGGCGAAGGCGGGUCUCUGGGCUGUUACUGACACUGAGGAGCGAAAGCAUGGGGAGCGAACAGG
rnacentral:rRNA from 1 species